rnacentral:lncRNA from 1 species
AUUUAAGAAAUGGGAGGAGAUGAAGAGACUAAUCCUUAGCAAUAAUUUAAAAGUUAAGAGUUGAAAAGAUUUGACCAGUGAGAUGUAAUCCAAUAGAUAAGAAUGUCAUACAGAAACCCACUUUUCCUUUUGGAUAUUAAAAUCAAGCAAUAUCAAUAAGCAAGUAAGAUGAAGAGUAAGGCAUCAAAUAAAGACAACCACAUCCAAGCUAGCAAAUCCAU